CAGUUUACUUGAGAAGGUAAAAGAAUAAAGAAGUCACCAUGUGCCAAAAGAAAAACGUUCUUUUUUGUAAAAUCUUGGAAAACACAUGAGCAUUUUUGUUCCCUAAAGAUGUGCUGAACAAUGGUGGUGAUGAUGUGCAAACAAAGCAGAUUCCCUUUAUGUCCCGAUUAUGACCCUCAAAUGAUCUUUGUUAUAAAUAUACUCAUCCUGGGGACUGGCCAAUACCUGACUGGAUUCCUUAUCCGGUGCUGUCCAGCUCCCUUUGUAUCACUGCUGUUACCAUCCUACAGCUCAUUGUUCCCCUCAUAAUAUUCAAUAAAUACAAUAUGUUUGGUGCCACUGCUGAUCUGCUGAGCCAGUCAGUGGCCAGCCCGGUGACUCAGUCUUGGUCUCAGCUUCAGAAGAAAAAUGAUGAUGCCUGUCUUUCUAGGUUUGAACCCCCCCCGGUGAACAGCAUCACAAAUGUGAUACAGACCUUCAGUAAUUACUGAAACAGCAGUUUGUCACAAGCUGCCUGCAGCACUGAUGGACAAUCUGCUUGUGGAUAUAGUUAGAGGAAGGAAUGUAUAAGAAAAUAUGAUAUUUGUGACAGGCUUAACUUGGAUUUUUUUGUUUCAGGGGAUGAAAUGUACGUGUGGAGGCAGUGUUGAUGAAGAAUUGGUACCCAUUUUCAUUAACAAUUUUUUCCACUUCUCUGGUAUUUAAUAUACAUGCAAAAUUUACUCCAGUGUAAAUAAGAAUUUGGCCCAAGUAGCAGCCACAUCUACAUGAAAUGCAAUUAGUGUCUCCCCUGAAGUUCCCAUAUAUCGGCAGCUUCCAAAACAAGUAGAUUUAGCCCUUGAGGAAGAGCAGAUCUGCUUACAUAUCCCAGUCGCCCUUCACACUGGUGCCACAGAAGGGGUCCUUGUGUUGCUGAGCAAAUAAAAAAAUCCCUGCUCUACUCCCCUGAGCCUUGUAACAGCCCAGAGCUUACUGCAGCAUACAGGCACUUCCCUGUGCUCUGUGCACCUGAAAAGAAAUGGAAAUCUAAAAGUCCUCUUCAUGUGAAACAGUUCUCUUUAUUCUUUUUCUGCCCUAAUCUUGUAGUGCAAUUGCAGCUCCAGAAAUGACAAAACAUCUGAGUCCACCAAUGGUGAGGAAAAUUCAAGGUUCAGAGAUGAUGAAAGAAAAAAAGGACUCUGAGCCUGAUAGGCUUUGGAUGGAGCUUUACAGAGAGUCAGGGCACCAAAGGAUGCUGCUGUGGGGGGGCAGGUGCCCAUGCAGGGGAAACACAGGCCCAGCCAUCUGGAAAAUCAGAUAUCUAGAAUAGAGAGGAGGGAAUGCACUGCUUGGCCCCAGCCAAGUUAACGAUGACUUUUUGUUUCUCAGCUUAAUAUUUAAGCAAUGUUGCUCCAAUUAGUCAAUGGAAGACAUUUUGUCUUCUAUGAGAUGUAUUCUCUCCUCCCCAACUUAAGGUAAUUUACUUCCAGGAUUUUUUUUUUAAACUAGAUUGCACUUGGCUCUAGGAACAGAAGGUUUCCUUCAGAAAUCUUUGCUGAGUUGAUGGCACAAACAGCCACAUUCCUGCAGCCUUUAUUAAAUCAAACUGUCAAAAUCUACAUGUCCACCUCCCCUUGUUUGUUAUUUUGUUUGUUGCAGUGCUGAAGACUGCUCGUAUUUCACCAGAAAAGGCUCUCCAGUCCGCAGCUCUCGGAUUUUCCCUCUCGUGUCACUCGAGCAGGCUGCCCUGAGCUUCCCUGCUGCCGAGAUGCUCCUGGAAAGUGAGCCACCCCUGUCUAUUAUCAGCAGAACUCUGCAGUGUCCCAGGUCUGGUGAGGUACCAGUGUGUGGUGAGGAGCACUGACGCUAUACUGGGACACCACCAUGUAUGUUAUGUAGUGCUUGUAUGCCCCAAAGAUUUUGGAGGGUAGAACAGAGAGCCUAUUAUUUUCUUUAGGAACAGUUUUCCUCCUCUGUUAUCCCUUGACAUCUACCCCUCACAACAGGCUUGUGGUGCAAUGUGCACUGCUCUCCUCUACAAGGGCUCUGCUCCUUUUAGAAAAGGCUUCCAGAAGGAUAUCGACAGCACUGAAAUCUCAUUUGGUCUGCUUGGUUUUUACCAGCCCUACUCAACUGCCCUGCAAGAAGAGAGAGGAAUAUUUUCCCCACUCUCUGGAGUAAAGUCCUCCAUUACCACGUUACAAAAGAAAACAGGCUGCUUGGUAGCUAAGGAAAAAUGCUGACUUUAAACCUGAGAUAAGGCUCUAUCAUUUACACUAAUGAGCUCACUGGUGGGGAAUUUGUAAAAUUUUAUGAUUAAAAAGUAGCUGUAGUCAGUGUUUGAUGGAAUUUACUAUUUUGCUUUUUUGCUGAAAAUAGACAUAAGUACUAAUCAUUUUCCCAUUCAAACCUAGAGAGAAAUAACUGCAGCAAGAAUUGUCCCAGUAGAAGUUCAAAGACCUUAAGUCUGUGACAAGAAAAACAAAUCAAGCUCCUGACCUUGGCAUCAUCGCUCACUUAGGAAUUUUUUGUACCUGAAAGAAAAUCUGCUGAUAUCCCAUGCAAGUAAUAAAUCACCUCUCGUCAUUAGUAAAUACAGCUGUAAAACAGACAUCUCAAGAGCGCUUCACUGCUGAAUGUCCAAAGUAAGUGUGUGGUACUUUGAUCCUCCCUGAGGAGGCUCCUGAUGCCAUUGGUUACCGCUACAUCCCGUCCCCUCAGAGCCAGCCAGUACCAACCCACGGGCAAACUCGGAUACUUAGCAGACACUCCGAGCAACUUUACAGACGCACAUUUAACUUAGCAGGGCAGUGAUAUGAAGAAAGUUUUA